GCAUAUCAAUAAGCGGAGGAAAAGAAACCAACAGGGAUUGCCCUAGUAACGGCGAGUGAAGCGGCAACAGCUCAAAUUUGAAAUCUGGCUCUCUUUGGGGGUCCGAGUUGUAAUUUGCAGAGGAUGCUUUGGCAUUGGCGGCGGUCUAAGUUCCUUGGAACAGGACAUCACAGAGGGUGAGAAUCCCGUACGUGGUCGCCUGCCUUUGCCGUGUAAAGCUCCUUCGACGAGUCGAGUUGUUUGGGAAUGCAGCUCUAAAUGGGAGGUAAAUUUCUUCUAAAGCUAAAUACUGGCCAGAGACCGAUAGCGCACAAGUAGAGUGAUCGAAAGAUGAAAAGUACUUUGGAAAGAGAGUCAAAAAGCACGUGAAAUUGUUGAAAGGGAAGCGCUUGCAGCCAGACUUGCCCGCAGUUGCUCACCUAGGCUUUGGCCUGGGGCACUCUUCUGCGGGCAGGCCAGCAUCAGUUUGGGCGGUUGGAUAAAGGCCUCUGUCACGUAUCUCCCUUCGGGGUGACCUUAUAGGGGAGGCGCAAUGCAACCAGCCCGGACUGAGGUCCGCGCAUCUGCUAGGAUGCUGGCGUAAUGGCUGUAAGCGGCCCGUCUUGAAACACGGACCAAGGAGUCUAACAUCUAUGCGAGUGUUUGGGUGUCAAGCCCGAGCGCGCAAUGAAAGUGAACGGAGGUGGGAACCCUUUGGGUGCACCAUCGACCGAUCCUGAUGUCUUCGGAUGGAUUUGAGUAAGAGCAUAGCUGUUGGGACCCGAAAGAUGGUGAACUAUGCUUGAAUAGGGUGAAGCCAGAGGAAACUCUGGUGGAGGCUCGCAGCGGUUCUGACGUGCAAAUCGAUCGUCAAAUUUGGGCAUAGGGGCGAAAGACUAAUCGAACCAUCUAGUAGCUGGUUCCUGC
rnacentral:rRNA from 1 species